UACAGAGGGUGCAAGCGUUAAUCGGAAUGACUGGGCGUAAAGGGCGCGUGAGGCGGAUGGCACAGUCAGAUGUGAAAUUCCCGGGCUUAACCCUGGGGGCGUGCCUUUUGAUACUGGCAAGCUAGAGUCCGGAAGAGGUAAGUGGAACUCCUAGUGUAGAGGUGGAAUUCGUAGAUAUUAGGAAGAACACCAGUGGCGAAGGCGGCUUACUGGUCCGGAACUGACGCUGAGGUGCGAAAGCGUGGGGAGCAAACAGG
rnacentral:rRNA from 1 species